AUUUAUAAGAAUAUGAUGUUGGUUCAGAUUAAGCGCUAAAUAAGGACAUGACACAUGCGAAUCAUACGUUUAUUAUUGAUAAGAUAAUAAAUAUGUGGUGUAAACGUGAGUAAUUUUAUUAGGAAUUAAUGAACUAUAGAAUAAGCUAAAUACUUAAUAUAUUAUUAUAAAAAAAUAAUUUAUAUAAUAAAAAGGAUAUAUAUAUAAUAUAUAUUUAUCUAUAGUCAAGCCAAUAAUGGUUUAGGUAGUAGGUUUAUUAAGAGUUAAACCUAGCCAACGAUCCAUAAUCGAUAAUGAAAGUUAGAACGAUCACGUUGACUCUGAAAUAUAGUCAAUAUCUAUAAGAUACAGCAGUGAGGAAUAUUGGACAAUGAUCGAAAGAUUGAUCCAGUUACUUAUUAGGAUGAUAUAUAAAAAUAUUUUAUUUUAUUUAUAAAUAUUAAAUAUUUAUAAUAAUAAUAAUAAUAAUAUAUAUAUAUAAAUUGAUUAAAAAUAAAAUCCAUAAAUAAUUAAAAUAAUGAUAUUAAUUACCAUAUAUAUUUUUAUAUGGAUAUAUAUAUUAAUAAUAAUAUUAAUUUUAUUAUUAUUAAUAAUAUAUUUUAAUAGUCCUGACUAAUAUUUGUGCCAGCAGUCGCGGUAACACAAAGAGGGCGAGCGUUAAUCAUAAUGGUUUAAAGGAUCCGUAGAAUGAAUUAUAUAUUAUAAUUUAGAGUUAAUAAAAUAUAAUUAAAGAAUUAUAAUAGUAAAGAUGAAAUAAUAAUAAUAAUUAUAAGACUAAUAUAUGUGAAAAUAUUAAUUAAAUAUUAACUGACAUUGAGGGAUUAAAACUAGAGUAGCGAAACGGAUUCGAUACCCGUGUAGUUCUAGUAGUAAACUAUGAAUACAAUUAUUUAUAAUAUAUAUUAUAUAUAAAUAAUAAAUGAAAAUGAAAGUAUUCCACCUGAAGAGUACGUUAGCAAUAAUGAAACUCAAAACAAUAGACGGUUACAGACUUAAGCAGUGGAGCAUGUUAUUUAAUUCGAUAAUCCACGACUAACCUUACCAUAUUUUGAAUAUUAUAAUAAUUAUUAUAAUUAUUAUAUUACAGGCGUUACAUUGUUGUCUUUAGUUCGUGCUGCAAAGUUUUAGAUUAAGUUCAUAAACGAACAAAACUCCAUAUAUAUAAUUUUAAUUAUAUAUAAUUUUAUAUUAUUUAUUAAUAUAAAGAAAGGAAUUAAGACAAAUCAUAAUGAUCCUUAUAAUAUGGGUAAUAGACGUGCUAUAAUAAAAUGAUAAUAAAAUUAUAUAAAAUAUAUUUAAUUAUAUUUAAUUAAUAAUAUAAAACAUUUUAAUUUUUAAUAUAUUUUUUUAUUAUAUAUUAAUAUGAAUUAUAAUCUGAAAUUCGAUUAUAUGAAAAAAGAAUUGCUAGUAAUACGUAAAUUAGUAUGUUACGGUGAAUAUUCUAACUGUUUCGCACUAAUCACUCAUCACGCGUUGAAACAUAUUAUUAUCUUAUUAUUUAUAUAAUAUUUUUUAAUAAAUAUUAAUAAUUAUUAAUUUAUAUUUAUUUAUAUCAGAAAUAAUAUGAAUUAAUGCGAAGUUGAAAUACAGUUACCGUAGGGGAACCUGCGGUGGGCUUAUAAAUAUC
rnacentral:ncRNA from 1 species